CAGCCGUAAACGAUGUGCGUUAGGUAUAUCGACGACCACGAGUCGUCGAGGUGCCGAAGGGAAACCGUGAAACGUACCGCCUGGGAAGUACGGUCGCAAGGCUGAAACUUAAAGGAAUUGGCGGGGGAGCACCACAACAGGUGGAGCCUGCGGUUUAAUUGGACUCAACGCCGGAAAUCUCACCGGAUAAGACAGCGGAAUGAUUGCCGGGCUGAAGACUCUGCAUGACUAGCUGAGAGGAGGUGCAUGGCGUCAGUGACU
rnacentral:rRNA from 1 species